rnacentral:rRNA from 1 species
GGCGGUUUGUCGCGUCUGCUGUGAAAACCCGAGGCUCAACCUCGGGCCUGCAGUGGGUACGGGCAGACUAGAUUGCGGUAGGGGAGAUUGGAAUUCCUGGUGUAGCGGUGGAAUGCGCAGAUAUCAGGAGGAACACCGAUGGCGAAGGCAGAUCUCUGGGCCGUAACUGACGCUGAGGAGCGAAAGGGUGGGGAGCAAACAGGCUUAGAUACCCUGGUAGUCCACCCCGUAAACGUUGGGAACUAGUUGUGGGGUCCAUUCCACGGAUUCCGUGACGCAGCUAACGCAUUAAGUUCCCCGCCUGGGGAGUACGGCCGCAAGGCUAAAACUCAAAGGAAUUGACGGGGACCCGCACAAGCGGCGGAGCAUGCGGAUUAAUUCGAUGCAACGCGAAGAACCUUACCAAGGCUUGACAUAUACGAGAACGGGCCAGAAAUGGUCAACUCUUUGGACACUCGUAAACAGGUGGUGCAUGGUUGUCGUCAGCUCGUGUCGUGAGAUGUUGGGUUAAGUCCCGCAACGAGCGCAACCCUCGUUCUAUGUUGCCAGCACGUAAUGGUGGGAACUCAUGGGAUACUGCCGGGGUCAACUCGGAGGAAGGUGGGGAUGACGUCAAAUCAUCAUGCCCCUUAUGUCUUGGGCUUCACGCAUGCUACAAUGGCCGGUACAAAGGGCUGCAAUACCGCAAGGUGGAGCGAAUCCCAAAAAGCCGGUCCCAGUUCGGAUUGAGGUCUGCAACUCGACCUCAUGAAGUCGGAGUCGCUAGUAAUCGCAGAUCAGCAACGCUGCGGUGAAUACGUUCCCGGGUCUUGUACACACCGCCCGUCAAGUCAUGAAAGUCGGUAACACCUGAAGCCGGUGGCCCAACCCUUGUGGAGGGAGCCG